rnacentral:rRNA from 1 species
UACGUAGGUGGCAAGCGUUGUUCGGAAUUACUGGGCGUAAAGGGCUCGUAGGUGGCCAACUAAGUCAGACGUGAAAUCCCUCGGCUUAACCGGGGAACUGCGUCUGAUACUGGAUGGCUUGAGUUCGGGAGAGGGAUGCGGAAUUCCAGGUGUAGCGGUGAAAUGCGUAGAUAUCUGGAGGAACACCGGUGGCGAAGGCGGCUUCCUGGACCAGUACUGACGCUGAGGCGCGAAAGCUAGGGGAGCAAACAGG